rnacentral:rRNA from 2 species
AGAGAUCUGGAGGAAUACCGGUGGCGAAGGCGGCCCCCUGGACAAAGACUGACGCUCAGGUGCGAAAGCGUGGGGAGCAAACAGGAUUAGAUACCCUGGUAGUCCACGCCGUAAACGAUGUCUACUUGGAGGUUGUGCCCUUGAGGCGUGGCUUCCGGAGCUAACGCGUUAAGUAGACCGCCUGGGGAGUACGGCCGCAAGGUUAAAACUCAAAUGAAUUGACGGGGGCCCGCACAAGCGGUGGAGCAUGUGGUUUAAUUCGAUGCAACGCGAAGAACCUUACCUGGUCUUGACAUCCACGGAAGUUUUCAGAGAUGAGAAUGUGCCUUCGGGAACCGUGAGACAGGUGCUGCAUGGCUGUCGUCAGCUCGUGUUGUGAAAUGUUGGGUUAAGUCCCGCAACGAGCGCAACCC